rnacentral:lncRNA from 1 species
UAUUCUAAAAGUGUUUUCAUAUCUUUUGUCACUGUAACUUUUGUUGGGACACCUUUACCUUGUGUCGUUAAACAAUGGAAGUUUGGGAAAAGGACACAACAGGAAGUCAUGAAAAUUACAGGAAAAUCCUACAUUCACGACCCAGCCUGCAUAAGCUUUCAGAUUUUGAAGGGCCCCGAUCGGGGGGACGGGUGAAAGUAAGGGCUACGGGCUAUCCCGCUCCUAACUGACCGAACGCCCAUAGGGCGUAGCCGUUACGCGCUGACAGUGACCCGUAUGUCGGACUUUUCACUCCGCCCUCUGACCUCGCGCCCGCAUUUGCUGACCUGCUGUCGGAUUCCACACUCGCCGCCCGAUGGGCUUCUACCUGCAACAACCGCUUUGGUCAUCGCAUUCUCGGUGAGUUUGUGAAUUAAGUGUAAAGUGUACCCUAAAAUUCUGUAAAAUAUUAUAACAUGAAUUAUUCAUACCAGUUGAAACUGUCUGUACAGUAUCAGGAUUUCUGGUAUUAGUUUAAUUUAAUUUGUAUAGUUCAGCCCGAAUCGUCGAUUUGUUGCGUGCUACUUCCGCUUUGUGCCAUGUGCUCGCUGUAGGAAGAUGCCGCAUGGCUAACACAAGGAAAUGCUGAAGAUCGGGGAUCGUGCUUAGUCAAAGCAUUGUAAUAAUGCCGACUACAAAACAGUCAACAGAUAACUCCACAGCGUGGCUGAAGAUGAGCCAAGCUGAAUGUAUAGUGAUAUUCAAGAUCCUGGAAGGGUUGUAAGAAAAUCAACUGACAUGGUAUAUGACGAGACUGGUUAUUCCCAAUCUGGAAUGAGUGGAAUUAUAAAAGAAGAACUAAAAUAUUUCAUCACUCUGCAUAUGAAACAGGAUUAUUGCUGUACCACAGCAGCCUGGGGAUAUUAUAUCUGCCACUGCUUACAAAUAGUUUGGAAGUAACUGGCAAGAAUGGAGGAACAAGUCCAAGGACAAAGCCAUCUGAUGAUGGGUCAUGCUAUUGAAGA